rnacentral:lncRNA from 1 species
CUAAUACACAUCCAACUUACAAGACACAUGUCUAAUUUACAAGGCAAGUUUCUUAGGUUUGUGCCAUAUGUCCAACUUAUACUAUAAGUGGUCAACAUGUCAAUACGUGGCCUUCUUCUUGGCCAAGUUUUCAACCUACCAAUUACCUAUAGAAAUGUAUAAACUUUAGACCAAAAACUAAUUAAAUCUAAAAUCCUAAAAAAAUCUUAAUAAAAUUCUAAAUCCUAAAUCAAAUCCUAAUCAAAUCUUAAACUCUAAAUCAAUUCCUAACCGAAUCCUAAUCCUAAAUCAAAUCCUAAAUCCUAAAUCAAAUCCUAACCAAAUCCUAAAUGUUAAACUAAAUCCUAAUUAAACUCUAAAUCCUAAAUCAAAUCCUAACCAAUUCCUAAUCUUAAAUCAUAUCCUAACCAAACCCUAAAUUCUAAACCAAAUCCUAACCAAAUUCUAAUCCUAAAUCAAAUCCUAACCAAACCCUAAAUACUAAAUAGACCCUAGUAAUUUCUACAACAGAUUUAAACCUCAAUAAAUAAUGAAUGAACCAUUGAUCUUAACUCAAAAAUUUCACACUUUUUAAUGCUUAAGUUGAAAACAAGCAUACAAAAUUUUAAAAGGAUUGAAAUUACUAAAUAGAUAAUAACCUCAAAAAUGUGCUUAGGUAUUGCCCAACCUCCUUCUUCAAUCUUAAUACCAACCUUCUAGAGCCAAUAUCUUUCUUUUUCACCAUUCGAUUGAUCUCAAAAUUAUCAUACAUAUAAGAAAAUAAGUCUACUAUCUUUAUCUAUAAAUUUCACUUCAAUUCAAAUAGUAGAUUGCAAGAAAUCUUAAAAACCCUCACAAGACUUAAAAUUCUACUUUCUGAGACCUUGACCCCCUUAAACCUCAAUAAUCCUCAAUUCAAUUGUUAGAUCAAGCUAAAAUUCACAACACAUAUUAAACAAAACUAUAACCAUUAAUCUACAAAAUUUCAUCUAUAGAUCUAUGACAAAACUCUUGAAAUUGCCAAAGACGUCAAUCCUAUUUUAUUUCACAAUAUCCAAGUCAUCUGAAAACAAACUUGACUUUGUAAAGCUCUUACAUAGUUAUUAUGAAUCCAAAUCAUACAAAAACAAUGCUCAUAGAAACCUUAUCUAGUCUGCUAUCAAAUCCUA